AAUUCGGUAAUUUUUAAAAUGUCGAUGAGUUCUCGAUUUCUGUGAUUUUUAAGUAUAUAUGUUGAAGAAAUGAACGUUUUGAACCAACAGAUUUUUGCGAAUAUCUAGAAAACUAAGAGAGUCCGACGAUUGUACGUACGGGGAGAAAGUUGUUCAAAAUGUUGAUUUCUACGACAUAUUUCAAAAUCGUCGAAAUCGAAAACGCGCGGACUUUCUAAAUUCUGAAUAAUUCCCUAUAAAAUUCCCCAUAAUGUUACAUAUUUACUUAUAGCAUUAUUAAUUUAGCAAUUCGUAUAGCAUUAAUAUAAAUUUAAUAUAUUUUUACUCAUCGUAAAUUGUAUGUUACGUUUAUGUAACAUUCAUAUGCGAUUGCGUCAGAUAGUAUACAUAUCUCGAGGAAUUAAAGAACACCACAGACAGACGACAGGUGACGUGCCUUGUACACACCCACCGAAUCGACCAAUCAGGAGCUAGGUUAUCAAGCGUUCUCAAAUCAUUUCCUACACACAAGUUAUCUAUAACUAUUUUUCAAGAAAACAAUAUUCGUUGUAAAACAUAUACUGCUUUGAAAUAGAAAAAGAUAAUUAAGAUAAAUUUAGGGAAACUAGAUACGUUCAACGUUAUUAACAUUAGAUAUUGUUAUGAUAGAACCGCGAUAUGUUAACCACUGUUUGUGUCAAUACAUCGUCCUUAGACUGGUAACUCGGAACGGAAAACCGAAUGAAAGGGAAAAUUUACCUGUUGAUAUACUUCCAUCACACGUUAUUGCUAGUUUUUAAAAUUGUUUGAUAGAAAAAUAUAUUUUAAGAGAUAAACGAAUCAUAUUUAUGUUGCAAUUGAUGACAAAUGUGAUUUGUAGCAUUUACGUGAUUAUUAAGAAAAGAAAAGAAAAGAAAAGAAAAAAAAAGAAAAGAAAAAAAAAAAAAGAAAAGAAUUCACUAAAAUAAGAUUUUAUAAAAUCCAUAAUUAUAGAAUAUUGAUAUAAUACGAGCGAUAAGUAUCGUUUAAUUAUCCGAUAGGUACUAAGGGCAUAUUAAUUGAAUGCUUAGAAUUCUAUUAACUAGGGUCAAAUGCGUAUCUACGUACAGUAGUUUAGAGCUCAUCUUACGUCAUUCGAAGAAACCACAGAUCGUUUGUGAUCAAGAAAGCAUUACUAAAGACUAACGAUAUUUGCUGCAAACUCUAGAGAAUCGAUCAAUGAUCUGUGAUGCGUAAGGUCAAGAAUUCCGUCAAUCGUUUAUGUGUUCUAUUGAUUAUAAUUAUCGUAAAGCAACAUUGAUUCAAAAUAUUAUUUCAUUUUUACUCUAUAAUCGACAUCCUUAUGGAAUUUCUAAAAUCGCAAGUAUUGUACAUCGUUCUUGAAUAUCGUAAUCUAAAUGUCAUUUUAACCAUUUAAUUAUUUUUUAUUGUUUGUUGUUAUAUAUUAUCACAGGGGAUAUUCCUCUCUGAUAUUGUAUAUUUUAUAUUAAACGAUAUUCAUUUCA